rnacentral:lncRNA from 1 species
AUCGGAGUUCAAAUUUUCCUCUGAGAUAUAUUACUGGACUGUAAUCUGAGCUCUUGAUAAGGCCAUUGAGUUGUAGACUUCACCAAUAUGGAGCCACAGUGCGCUGUGACACUCAAAUGCAGGAUUGAGUCCCUCAUUGUGCACAAUAGUUUGGGGAUGGAUAAAAGCAAGCCUGAGAGAAGAAGCUGUUGUUUCACACAGAUAAAGUCUUCUUUUUCCAUGCAUAACAACAAGUGAGAGCCUUUCUUCAGAGACUACAUUUUGAAUGCCUUCCACAGUUCUUCUGAGCUUCAUUUCAUUACAACAGUUUGCCAUCUACCAGGGUAAACACAGUGACUGCUGUAUGACUCCAUCUCCAGAACCUAGCACAAUUGUAGGGGCUUAGUGAAGUCCAGCCAGCUCUGUGUAUAUCAGCAAACCCUUAAUAGUACUUGUUAGUUCUCAGCAUUCAGCUGGAUGCCUACCUAAUACUCAUUAACUUGACCCUCUCAAUCCGACAUUGACAGAUAAAGAAACAAAGCUCAGGAAAAUUAACCAACAUGCUUAAGGUCUUACGGCUGGUCUAGGUCAAGUCUAUCUUCUACAUAUUAUUUAACAUAAUGUCACCACUAACUCCUCAACCCAGGCUAACUUCAGACAUAUUACAUACAGGCUAAGCAUGCUUCCUUCAAAAAAUGCUACACUAUGCUAGCUGUAUAUACAACACUACAUACAUCCCAAGGAUUCUAUCUUCCAGCAUGUGGAUCUCAUGUCACCAUUCAGCAUAUGGUGUCCUGGUUGGAUUUUGGUCAACUUGACACAAGUUUGAGCUAUCUAGGAAGAACCUCAAGUGAGAAAAUGAGAGAAUGCCACCAUCAGAUCACCUAAAAGCAAGACUGUGGGCAUUUUUUCCUGAUUAAUGAUUGGUAUAUGAAAGCCCAGCACACAGUGGGAGCAAUGUCACUUCACCCCUGGACAAGUAGACCUAGAUGCUAUAAGAAAACAGUCUGAGCAAUCCAUGAGCACCAGCCAGUAAGCAGCAUUCGUCCAUGCCUUCUGCUUCAGUUCCUGCCUCCUGGUUUCUGCCUUGAAUUCCUGCCUCACUUCUUUCAUUGAUGGACUGUGACAUAAUUGUAGGACAAGUAAACUCUCUCUUCUCCAACUG